rnacentral:tRNA from 1 species
UUAGUUAAACUACUUUUUGC